rnacentral:rRNA from 1 species
CUUUACAAGUUCACUUUACAGAGCUGGGUCGGGCCUGGUUAGUACUUGGACGGGAGACCGCCUGGGAAUACCAGGUGCUGUAAGCU